rnacentral:rRNA from 1 species
GAUUGAACGCUAGCGGGAUGCCUUACACAUGCAAGUCGAACGGCAGCACGGACUUCGGUCUGGUGGCGAGUGGCGAACGGGUGAGUAAUGUAUCGGAACGUGCCUAGUAGCGGGGGAUAACUACGCGAAAGCGUAGCUAAUACCGCAUACGCCCUACGGGGGAAAGCAGGGGAUCGCAAGACCUUGCACUAUUAGAGCGGCCGAUAUCGGAUUAGCUAGUUGGUGGGGUAACGGCUCACCAAGGCGACGAUCCGUAGCUGGUUUGAGAGGACGACCAGCCACACUGGGACUGAGACACGGCCCAGACUCCUACGGGAGGCAGCAGUGGGGAAUUUUGGACAAUGGGGGAAACCCUGAUCCAGCCAUCCCGCGUGUGCGAUGAAGGCCUUCGGGUUGUAAAGCACUUUUGGCAGGAAAGAAACGUCAUGGGCUAAUACCCCGGAAA